UAGGAAUUAUGGUUACAUAUUUACAAAAACUCCCUUCAAGCCUGCUGCUUUAAGGGAGUGUUGAAUUAUGGGUUGUUUGCAGCCUUAACGUCGCUAAGGCCAGCAUGUUUCAGUCUGUCCCUCUGCAGUCUGUCUGCUAAAGCUAAACACAAGUGUCUUCAAGUGUCCAGAUAACCCAGUCGUUGGGUCAUCUGAUGCCUUACGGUUUACAACCACAGAAAAGAAAUUCUUAAAAAGGGCACACAACAGAAUAAAAGAAGACCAAUGACUGUAAUGGAGCUGUUAUACAGCUGCAAGCGCUGGAAAUCACCAGACCAGUGGACAGAGCUGACAGUAUUUGAGAAGAAAGUCUUUCUAACUAAAACGUGCAAUGAAUGACCUCCAGGCAGGAAACUACAUUCCAGCAGUGUCCCUUUACCCACUGCAUGCAGCCGCAUCACAUACAAGUCUCUCCUCGGCUUGUCUUACAUAGAUAUCUUUACAUUUUCAUUAGGUACAAACUCUGUGAAGUGUUCUGCAUUGUUUCACUUAACUUAUUUUGUAGCCAUGCUACUCUGUGCCAAAUAGAAAUAGAAAGUUUGGUUGCAAAACUAAAACUGUGAAGUUGGGAUGCAUCAACAUAGAUACAGUAAUUAGUAGGAGAUUAUGUUUAAAGGUAGAGCUAGCUGAAUCUCUGUAAUUUGCUCAAAAAAAGAAUUAUAUGUGGAUGUAAGCAUUAAAUGCAUCUUGCUGUUUUUAUAUAAAGAUCUUUUCUAAACUGGA